rnacentral:lncRNA from 1 species
UUUUGAUCCCAAGAAACUCCAGUUAUCCAGUCCUAAAUAUCUGGUCACUAAUAUAUCACUCAGAUUCCUAAUGUUUACAUCUAUCUCCUGACCAGUGAGCUGACAUUUCCAGAAUAUUUCCCACAAUGAGCCAGAGAACACUUGAGAGUCUAGGAACAGGAAGAACACACCUGCUGUUAAUAAAUUGUUCAUUUUCUGUGUAUUGGGAGAAUUGGAAAUUUCCAUAUACAUGGUAUUAAAGGAUGGUGCUUCGCAACAGGAUUGAAUUUGGAGAUAUGUUCAAUUACUUUGAUACUUUCCUCACAAUUUUCCUGAUAAAAAUGACUCUCUAAAUGCAUUGCAAUGUGCACCAAACUUUAGUAUGUUUAUGUUUUACUGUUUCAAGGCUUUUAUAAUGCUGUCAUAAGGGUACAAGUCUCUUUCCUAUUACUUUUACAGGCACUUUUACUACUUACCCACUUCUAGCAGAAGUCUAUCUUCCCUCUGAGGAUUUAAACUAAAACAUAGUGGUUUUAAAUUUUUUUUCUCUAUCAAGCUCAUAAAAUAGAAAUUAUUAUCAUUAUUACUUCAUAAAAUAUAAUUUUGUUCAUUAGAGAUAUAUAAGCAAAGAAAUUGCUUAAUAAAAAAGUUUUCCCAUCUGUACAGCUGUGGAAUGUAUCCUUGAAUGUUACUAAAAAGGCCAAUUGUGACAUAAUUCAGAUGAGAUACCAGACAAGAAAAGUAAUCUAAGGUCCUCUGUUAUUGUUCUUAUGAAAAUUGGAAUUUUUCCUGCAUUGCAAUAGUUUGAAUACAUUCUACUACAAUGGGGAUUUUUCUUUUUUUUCUCUCUCCCCUCUAACAAGAAUGAAUCAAUAAAAAUGACAUCCAGUAGAGUAUCUUCAGAGCUUCAGAAAUAAAACAAUUGCUUUUCCUAAAAUUACUAGACUUCCAGGAUGAAAAUGGGAAAAUUUCUGUACUUAUGUCCAUAAGUAUAAUUUGUACAAAAGGAACUAACCAUUCUUGAAUGCACAUCUUUUGCCUUUUGUGGUGGCACAUUUCCAGGUAGCUCUCAUAUAAAAUAAUUGCAGCAAGCAAAUAGACAAAUCCUUGUUGAAGGAGGCAUAAUGGAAAACACAUAGAAUGAAUAUGGUUGUCUAUAUGUUUACUGUUUUCCAUCUGAACUAGCUGUAAUGUUGUGGUUUGAUAAACUUCUGGUACUUUUUUUUGGAUGAUUUUUACAAAGUUAAUAAUGUAUAUAUGUAGUAAUGUAUAUGGGCUUAUGAAUCUCCACAUCUUUGUCUUGUAAAUUUGUUUUUUGCAUACUGUUGUUUAUAUUCAAAAAUUGAAAGAUCUUAGUGCCUGGGUGUGAAGGAAUUUUUGUUUUCAGAGAAUUAAAAAUAAGAUGAGAGAGAACCAUUUACAAAAUGAUUUUUGUCUGCUGUUUAGUUGACAUGACAUCAAGACAGCUUGCAAGACACAAGGAUGGAACUUGAGUCACUCCUUCAAUAACUCCUGAAGAACAUUCAGAUACUAAUUUUAGAGAGUCUAUAACAUGCAGUAAUAAAGACAUGGGAUGAAUCAUAACAGUGAAUAAUAUCUGGUACAUAACAGGGAAUAAUAUCU